AAUCGAUGGUGAUUACCGAUUCAACGGUUAAUUGACGGAUAGUCGCUAAUUACCUAGGACGACGAGUAACACAGACAGUUCGUUGAUCUUCGGUGUACUCUAUUAAUAUAUCAGGAAGAAAUUCUUGGCUACUUAGAAGUCGCAUCGUCGAGCGUACCACGGCGUUCCGUAUCUUCCCCAUCGGCCUCGACACACCGAAGAAGGGAAUUGAAGAAUCGAAAAUUGAUACUAUUCGUGAAAGAAUGAAGCCGAAUGGAAAGGUAGACACCCGGUGGAUCGGAAGGGGCUGUUCCCGAGCCAAUUAACGUAGUUACAGGGAGCAGAGUUCGAGUACACUGGAUGUUUUUAUUACGAUUACGACAAGAAGGUAACGAGGUAACUGCAUCAAUCUUAUUCGCAGUUAUCCGUAACAAUAAUCAACUUAUGUUCGGAAGGAAGGAAGGAAGGAAGUAAAGUGGAAGUUUCACUUUGCUUUUCUUAAGAGCUACGUAAAUAUUUUCAUCGAUAUCGAGGUUAACGAAUGCAAUUAUACACGUGUCUCCUGUGAGAAUCAUUUCAACCUUUCGAUAUAUUUGAUUUAAACGGACAUUGAACUAGUUUUAACUCGUUAAUAUUGUCAGCUAUUGUUUGAAACCAGGCAAAGGAUAAUGAAUUAGAAGACACCCGUUAGAAACCCUCGAUUCUUCUUCCGGAGUUCGCACAAAAGAGCACUAGGCGAAAGCGAAAUCAGCAGCAACGUAACUUUUAACGUAGGUAUACUCCGGAGAAAAUGCAGAUUUUAUAAAUUAGAAUGUUCUAUCACCUAGUAACGAUCGUUAAUCAAUUUUUCUUGAUUAU